rnacentral:rRNA from 1 species
GACGAACCGUACGAACGUUAUUCGGAAUCACUGGGCUUAAAGGGUGCGUAGGCGGCGCGACAAGUUGGGUGUGAAAUCCCUCGGCUCAACCGAGGAACUGCGCCCAAAACUGUCGUGCUCGAGGGAGACAGAGGUGAGCGGAACUUAGGGUGGAGCGGUGAAAUGCGUUGAUAUCAUCAGGAAUACCGGAGGCGAAGGCGGCUCACUGGGGGUUAUCUGACGCUGAGGAACGAAAGCCAGGGGAGCGAACGGG